AACGAACGCUGGCGGCAUGCCUAACACAUGCAAGUCGAACGAAGGCUUCGGCCUUAGUGGCGCACGGGUGCGUAACGCGUGGGAAUCUGCCCUUUGGUUCGGAAUAACAGCUGGAAACGGCUGCUAAUACCGGAUGAUGACGAAAGUCCAAAGAUUUAUCGCCAGAGGAUGAGCCCGCGUUGGAUUAGGUAGUUGGUGGGGUAAAGGCCUACCAAGCCGACGAUCCAUAGCUGGUCUGAGAGGAUGAUCAGCCACACUGGUACUGAGAAACGGCCCAGACUACUACGGGAGGCAGCAGUGGGGAAUAUUGGAAAAUGGGCGCAAGCCUGAUCCAGCAAUGACGCGUGAGUGAUGAAGGCCGUAGGGUUGUAAAGCUCUUUUACCCGGGAAGAUAAUGACUGUACCGGGAGAAUAAGCCCCGGCUAACUCCGUG
rnacentral:rRNA from 1 species